GAACGCUGGCGGCGUUCUUAACACAUGCAAGUCGCACGGACAGGCCCUGCUUUUGUGGGGUGCUCGAGUGGCGAACGGGUGAGUAACACGUGAGUAACCUGCCCUUGACUUUGGGAUAACUUCAGGAAACUGGGGCUAAUACCGGAUAGGAGCUCCUGCUGCAUGGUGGGGGUUGGAAAGUUUCGGCGGUUGGGGAUGGACUCGCGGCUUAUCAGCUUGUUGGUGGGGUAGUGGCUUACCAAGGCUUUGACGGGUAGCCGGCCUGAGAGGGUGACCGGCCACAUUGGGACUGAGAUACGGCCCAGACUCCUACGGGAGGCAGCAGUGGGGAAUAUUGCACAAUGGGCGGAAGCCUGAUGCAGCAACGCCGCGUGCGGGAUGACGGCCUUCGGGUUGUAAACCGCUUUCGCCUGUGACGAAGCGUGAGUGACGGUAAUGGGUAAAGAAGCACCGGCUAACUACGUG
rnacentral:rRNA from 1 species